UAAAGGGGUGCUCCUAUGUAAAGGAUGCUUAUAAACAAAAGAAUUUGUUAUUUGUUCAUUUAUAUGUCUUACUUAGUCAGGACUUUAAGCAGUAAAUAUCAUUUUAAAACUGAAUUGAGUCAGUAAAUUCGGGAAGCUGAUUAUGCUAAGAAAUAUUGGAUAUUGGUCUAUUGAAUGGGGAAACCAGCAUGUACCUAUUUGCACAUGGAUAACUAUUCUUCGUGACUAUAUCCGGGACCGGAGAUCGGUUUUUAAAACGCUUGAAAGAUUCAGAUGAAUGAUGCAAAGAAGACGCCGGUAGCCAACUGACAACAACUUGAACAAGUACUUGUUUCUGUUUAUUUAAUGAGACAAACACAAUCAAGGAGUUAUGAACGCAUAGAUACUCGAGGAAAUAAUACAGCAGUACAUUGUAUUACAACAAAUGGACAGAGGAUCCGGAGUUGACUAUUGAUAGUGACUGAUAAUGGACUGGAGUAACCUAGCGUCCAAUGACUCUGAACAUGCCAGACAGUACUGGCAUGUGUACAUGUAUGUCGACAGCCAAUUCUAAGUAACCUUAAACGUAUACAUUGUAUAUACAAAAGACCUACAAUAAUGAAUUAGCUCCUGAGAUGUCAGUGGAAUGGAAGUAAUACACAUCAUAUGUUUCAAUGAAAUUAACAUGAUUAAUGAUGGGAUAAGACGUAGAGAAGAUCCUAUAGCUACAGUACAUGUACAUGUAACUGCAAAUGUAUUCCAAGAGUUUAUGGCUGAUUAUGCAACUACAGGAUUUUAUCAUUGAAGCAACAUCUUAGAAGGAUAAGUGCAAAUGUAUGAAGGAAUCCUUGUGUACAAAUACAUGUAGCAAUUACAUGCAGGAGAGGACACUUAAACAUUACUAACAUGUAGUCAUGAUAUUGGAGUGGUGCAUUCUAGAAAUCUAAACACCUGGAAUUAAAUAUUGUGUAUAUUUUUUUUCAAGCACAAGUACCUUCAGCAUAUAAUACAAUUCAUAUUCAAAUUAUUGUGUCAACAUGACAGUUACUUUCUAAAAAUGGAAAAUGCUUGUUUUAAAAUGAAUUUUAUAUAAAUAUUUUAAAUAACAAGAAUUUUUAGCUUAUUGUGAAGCCAAACUUUGAGAUCUUUUAAUGGUAUAUGCCUGUUGUUUGUCAACAUUUAUUUUCUUUUUGACUUCGCCUUAAGAUCAGUGUUAAUAUGAAAAACUGAAAACCAUAUAUGAAAUAAGAAG